AUUGAACGCUGGCGGCAGGCCUAACACAUGCAAGUCGAGCGGGGUUUUCGGACCUAGCGGCGGACGGGUGAGUAAUGCGUAGGAAGCUGCCCGAUAGAGGGGGAUACCAGUUGGAAACGACUGUUAAUACCGCAUAAUGUCUACGGACCAAAGUGUGGGACCUUCGGGCCACAUGCUAUCGGAUGCGCCUACGUGGGAUUAGCUAGUUGGUGAGGUAAUGGCUCACCAAGGCGACGAUCUCUAGCUGGUUUGAGAGGAUGAUCAGCCACACUGGAAAUGAGACACGGCCCAGACUCCUCCGGGAGGCAGGAGUGGGGAAUAUUGGACAAUGGGCGCAAGCCUGAUCCAGCCAUGCCGCGUGUGUGAAGAAGGCCUUCGGGUUGUAAAGCACUUUCAGCGAGGAGGAAGGGGUGUGUGUUAAUAGUACACACCUUUGACGUUACUCGCAGAAGAAGCACCGGCUAACUCUGUGCCAGCCGCCGCGGUAAGAC
rnacentral:rRNA from 1 species